rnacentral:rRNA from 1 species
UACGUAGGGUGCAAGCGUUGUCCGGAAUUAUUGGGCGUAAAGAGCUCGUAGGCGGCUUGUCGCGUCGAAUGUGAAAUCUCAGGGCUCAACUCUGACAUUGCAUUCGAUACGGGCAGGCUCGAGUUCGGUAGGGGAGACUGGAAUUCCUGGUGUAGCGGUGGAAUGCGUAGAUAUCAGGAGGAACACCGAUGGCGAAGGCAGGUCUCUGGGCUGACACUGACGCUCAUGCACGAAGCGUGGGAG